UACGGGGGGAGCAAGCGUUGUUCGGAUUUACUGGGCGUAAAGGGCGCGUAGGCGGUCAGCACAAGUCAGUUGUGAAAUCUCCGGGCUUAACCCGGAAAGGUCAACUGAUACUGUGCGACUAGAGUGCGGAAGGGGCAACUGGAAUUCUCGGUGUAGCGGUGAAAUGCGUAGAUAUCGAGAGGAACACCUGCGGCGAAGGCGGCUCACUGGACCGGUUCUGACGCUGAGGCGCGAAAAGCGUGGGGAGCAAACGGGG
rnacentral:rRNA from 1 species